AGAGUUUGAUCCUGGCUCAGGAUGAACGCUGGCGGCGUGCCUAACACAUGCAAGUCGAACGCACAGCGAAAGGUGCUUGCACCUUUCAAGUGAGUGGCGAACGGGUGAGUAACACGUGGACAACCUGCCUCAAGGCUGGGGAUAACAUUUGGAAACAGAUGCUAAUACCGAAUAAAACUCAGUGUCGCAUGACACAAAGUUAAAAGGCGCUUUGGCGUCACCUAGAGAUGGAUCCGCGGUGCAUUAGUUAGUUGGUGGGGUAAAGGCCUACCAAGACAAUGAUGCAUAGCCGAGUUGAGAGACUGAUCGGCCACAUUGGGACUGAGACACGGCCCAAACUCCUACGGGAGGCUGCAGUAGGGAAUCUUCCACAAUGGGCGAAAGCCUGAUGGAGCAACGCCGCGUGUGUGAUGAAGGCUUUCGGGUCGUAAAGCACUGUUGUAUGGGAAGAACAGCUAGAAUAGGGAAUGAUUUUAGUUUGACGGUACCAUACCAGAAAGGGACGGCUAAAUACGUGCCAGCAGCCGCGGUAAUACGUAUGUCCCGAGCGUUAUCCGGAUUUAUUGGGCGUAAAGCGAGCGCAGACGGUUGAUUAAGUCUGAUGUGAAAGCCCGGAG
rnacentral:rRNA from 1 species